rnacentral:rRNA from 1 species
ANAACCCGUUUAAAGACGGACUAAUACCGUAUGACGUCGUUAGCUGACAUCAAAUAACGAUUAAAGGUUUAGCGGUGAUGGAUGGGGAUGCGUCUGAUUAGCUUGUUGGCGGGGUAACGGCCCACCAAGGCGACGAUCAGUAGGGGUUCUGAGAGGAAGGUCCCCCACAUUGGAACUGAGACACGGUCCAA